AACGCGAAGAACCUUACCAAGUCUUGACAUCCCCCUGACCGGAACUUAACGGUUCCUUUCCUACGGGACAGGGGAGACAGGUGGUGCAUGGUUGUCGUCAGCUCGUGUCGUGAGAUGUUGGGUUAAGUCCCGCAACGAGCGCAACCCUUAUUCUUAGUAGCCAGCAGGUAGAGCUGGGCACUCUAGGGAGACUGCCAGGGAUAACCUGGAGGAAGGUGGGGAUGACGUCAAAUCAUCAUGCCCCUUAUGAUUUGGGCUACACACGUGCUACAAUGGCGUAAACAAAGAGAAGCAAGACCGCGAGGUGGAGCAAAUCUCAAAAAUAACGUCUCAGUUCGGAUUGCAGGCUGCAACUCGCCUGCAUGAAGCUGGAAUCGCUAGUAAUCGCGAAUCAGAAUGUCGCGGUGAAUACGUUCCCGGGUCUUGUACACACCG
rnacentral:rRNA from 1 species